ensembl:snRNA U6 U6 spliceosomal RNA
AUGCUUGCUUUGGCAGCGCAUAAACUAAAAUUAGAAAGAUAUUCAGAAUAGUAUCAUGGUCCCUACACAAGGAUGUCACAGAAAUUUGUGAAGCGUUCCAUAUUAGA